GACGAACGCUGGCGGCGUGCUUAACACAUGCAAGUCGAACGGUGAAGGGGUCUGCUUUUGUGGGCCCUGGAUGAGUGGCGAACGGGUGAGUAACACGUGAGUAACCUGCCCCCUUCUUCUGGAUAACCGCAUGAAAGUGUGGCUAAUACGGGGUAUUCUGGGUCUGUCGCAUGAUGGGUCUGGGAAAGAUUGCGCCUUUGGGUGUUUUUGGUUGGGGAUGGGCUCGCGGCCUAUCAGCUUGUUGGUGGGGUGAUGGCCUACCAAGGCGGUGACGGGUAGCCGGCCUGAGAGGGUGGACGGUCACACUGGGACUGAGACACGGCCCAGACUCCUACGGGCGGCAGCAGUGGGGAAUAUUGCACAAUGGGCGCAAGCCUGAUGCAGCGACGCCGCGUGAGGGAUGGAGGCCUUCGGGUUGUAAACCUCUUUCGCCAGUGAAGCAGGCCUGCUCCUUGUGGGUGGGUUGACGGUAGCUGGAUAAGAAGCGCCGGCUAACUACGUG
rnacentral:rRNA from 1 species